GUAGGGUGCGAGCGUUAAUCGGAAUUACUGGGCGUAAAGCGUGCGCAGGCGGUUGUGCAAGACAGAUGUGAAAUCCCCGGGCUCAACCUGGGAAUUGCAUUUGUGACUGCACGGCUAGAGUGUGUCAGAGGGGGGUAGAAUUCCACGUGUAGCAGUGAAAUGCGUAGAGAUGUGGAGGAAUACCGAUGGCGAAGGCAGCCCCCUGGGAUAACACUGACGCUCAUGCACGAAAGCGUGGGGAGCAAACAGGAUUAGAUACCCUGGUAGUCCCACGCCCUAAACGAUGUCAACUAGUUGUCGGGUCUUAAUUGACUUGGUAACGCAGCUAACGCGUGAAGUUGACCCGCCUGGGAGUACGGUCGCAAGAUUA
rnacentral:rRNA from 1 species